UGCCUUAUUGAGAUACAAAGGAUGAAUCUAU
rnacentral:piRNA from 1 species